rnacentral:rRNA from 1 species
AGCGAACGCUGGCGGCAGGCCUAACACAUGCAAGUCGAACGAACCUUUCGGGGUUAGUGGCGGACGGGGGAGUAACACGUGGGAACGUGCCUUUAGGUUCGGAAUAACUCAGGGAAACUUGUGCUAAUACCGAAUGUGCCCUUCGGGGGAAAGAUUUAUCGCCUUUAGAGCGGCCCGCGUCUGAUUAGCUAGUUGGUUGAGGUAAUGGCUAACCAAGGCGACGAUCAGUAGCUGGUCUGAGAGGAUGAUCAGCCACAUUGGGCCUGAGACACGGCCCAAACUCCUACGGGAGGCAGCAGUGGGGAAUCUGGCGCAAUGGGCGAAAGCCUGACGCAGCCAUGCCGCGUGAAUGAUGAAGGUUUUAGGAGUGUAAAAUUCUUUCACCGGGGACGAUAAUGACGGUACCCGGAGAAGAAGCCCCGGCUAACUUCGUG